rnacentral:rRNA from 1 species
GCUCCUCUGACGUUAGCGGCGGACGGGUGAGUAACACGUGGAUAACCUACCUAUAAGACUGGGAUAACUUCGGGAAACCGGAGCUAAUACCGGAUAAUAUAUUGAACCGCAUGGUUCAAUAGUGAAAGACGGUUUUGCUGUCACUUAUAGAUGGAUCCGCGCCGCAUUAGCUAGUUGGUAAGGUAACGGCUUACCAAGGCAACGAUGCGUAGCCGACCUGAGAGGGUGAUCGGCCACACUGGAACUGAGACACGGUCCAGACUCCUACGGGAGGCAGCAGUAGGGAAUCUUCCGCAAUGGGCGAAAGCUUGACGGAGCAACGCCGCGUGAGUGAUGAAGGUCUUCGGAUCGUAAAACUCUGUUAUUAGGGAAGAACAAAUGUGUAAGUAACUAUGCACGUCUUGACGGUACCUAAUCAGAAAGCCACGGCUAACUACGUGCCAGCAGCCGCGGUAAUACGUA